rnacentral:rRNA from 1 species
GACGAACGCUGGCGGCGUGCUUAAAACAUGCAAGUCGAGCGGCGCGGCGAACGGGUGAGUAACGCGUGAGUAACUGCCCCCCUCUCUGGGAUAACAGUUGGAAACGGCUGCUAAUACCGGAUAGUGGGGGAUGACUCGCGUCCGAUCCGCUUGUUGGUGGGGUAGUGGCCCACCAAGGGGCGGACGGGUGGCCGGCCUGCGAGGGGGACCGGCCACAUUAGGCUGAGAUACGGCCCAAACUCCGACGGGGGUCAGCAGUGGGGAAUAUUGCACAAUGGGGGAAACCCUGAUGCAGCAACGCGCGUGCGGUAUGACGGCCUUCGGGUUGUAAACCGCUUUCAGCCAUGACGCGGUAGUGGCAGAAGAAGCACCGGCUAACUACGUGCCAGCAGCCGCGGUAAUUC